GACAGAGGAUGCAAGCGUUAAUCGGAAUUACUGGGCGUAAGCGUGCGCAGGCGGUUUUGUAAGUCUGACGUGAAAUCCCCGGGCUCAACCUGGGAAUUGCGUUGGAGACUGCAAGGCUAGAAUCUGGCAGAGGGGGGUAGAAUUCCACGUGUGAGCAGUGAAAUGCGUAGAGAUGUGGAGGAACACCGAUGGCGAAGGCAGCCCCCUGGGUCGAAGAUUGACGCUCAUGC
rnacentral:rRNA from 1 species